GGUGGCCCAGGCCAGGCUCUUCCCCUGAUUCUUCCCUUGUAAUCAGAGGCUAAAAGAGGUGUGGACUAAAAAGCAUUAGGCGCAGAGAAGAGAGAUCUAAAUCUGAACGGUCAAAGCAUGAGAUGGAUCACGACUCCCCAUUCCUAUUACCCAGACAUUAAACUCCACGAGGCAGGGGCCAGGUCUGUUUCUUCUCACCACUGAAUUCUCUUCCUCCAGCAGAAA